GGUGGCUGUAGCGAGGGGGAUCACCUCUUCCCAUUCCGAACAGAGAAGUUAAGCCCUUCAGCGCCGAUGGUACUACACUACAAUGUGGGAGAGUAGGUCGUCGCCAU
rnacentral:rRNA from 1 species